rnacentral:misc_RNA from 1 species
GAUGAAGAACGCAGCGAAAUGCGAUAAGUAAUGCGAAUUGCAGAAUUUCCGUGAGUCAUCGAAUCUUUGAACGCACAUUGCGCCCAUUGGCAUUCCGAUGGGCAUGCCUGUUCGAGCGUCAUUAUCCUCCCUCAAACCUCGGGUUUGGUGUUGGACCCAAGUUGUGCGAUGAACAACUGGUCUUAAAGACAAUGACGGCGUCCGUGGGACCCUCGAUGCAACGAGCUUUAAGGAGCACGCGUCGCGUUUUAAAAGGACCCUCCGGGCCGAUCUACCUCUCUUUCUCAGGUUGACCUCGGAUCAGGUAGGAAUACCCGCUGAACUUAAGCAUAUCAAUAAGCGGAGGA